rnacentral:ncRNA from 1 species
AUGAGGGCGACCGAGUGUGGAGAAGAAGCGUGGAGCGAAGCUGCGAGCCGAGGAACACGAACCGGAUAGAAGGCGGUGCCGACUAGGGCGAGCGGGCCAGAAACCGCGAAGCUCUCGUGAUCAAGGGUCAGGCGGCGUAGAUUCGGCGGCUGUGCAGUGAAGGAGUGCGUUC